GCGGAGGACGAGAGGAACGAAGGAGAGGGGGCAGAAAGGAGGAUCUCGUUGAAGAACUGGAGGAGGGAGGUCGACGAGAACCUGAAUCGACUCCGCUCACUCCUCUUCGCCGCCGAUCUCGCUCUCCAGCGGGACCACAACGCCGCCUCCCGAACCCUUGCCCUCCUCCUCAUCGGCUUCCUCAACUCCCGUACGAGAACCCACACCGACGCGGAUCUCGUCGCCUCCAUUCGGACUGAGGCCGCCUCCCGCGCCCUCGCCUUCGACUCGGAUCGGGGACAGGUAAAACAGUGAUCGGAAAAGCCAUUGCUGGAUAGGCGAAGGCAAAAUUUUUUAACAUACCGGCAAGUUCUUUGACAAGCAAGUGGUUAAAUUGUGGUACGUGAAACAACUUUGCUCGUCAUUUCGUCGACAUUUUGAAUGGUUUUCUGAAGAGAGUGAGCAGGCCAACUAUUCGUUACCUGAUACUAAGAAACCAUGCUUAAGAGAGCAACAGUAUACCAGAAUUUGUUUGCCAAGGUAUGUAUGAUCCAUAAUUUUGAUCUGAUGCUUAUGUAAGAUAUUGUGUAGUUUACUGAAGUAGCAAUUAGAAACACAAUAUAUUUGGU